CGCUCGACCUUCGCCCCACCUGGAAGGCGCCGGAUGCGAGACUCGCCCUUGGCUCGGCCCGCGGCCCCGGCCGGCGCCUCGCCCUUCACCUUCAAGUCCCCGAGGGAGCUCGGCAACUCGGCCCAAGGACAGGGGCCCAGCCUAGCCGUCACCGCCGGCAGCGCGCUCCGGGUCUGGCUCUGGUAGUCACUGGCGUAUCCCGCAUCCGGCCUGCUCACGGCGCUCCAGGCCUGCCCCGCGCGCCGAAACCCUCCGCCGGACGCGGAGGAAAAGAAGGUGGUGAGCGAGGCACGGAGAUGCUCCGACGGCUGCGCGGGUCUCCGAGGCCGAACCGCCACCCGCGUUCCGGGCCAGUCCCAGCCCACGGCGUGGCCAGCGCUGCCGCCGGUCCAGCGACACUGCGGGCGCCCCCGGGCCGCGGGGCCUCUUCUGAGACCAUGUGGCCCACAGAGAAUCUAAGCUCCCGCCGCCGGGCUCCACCUCAACGGCGGAGAACUCGGGCGCCGAGCAUCGCCCGAUCCCUACCCGGCAGCGGACGGCUACAGGGUUUGAUUUUCCCCUCCACAGGAAAGAACGUGCAGAGGCACAAAUCCCCUCCUCUUCCCUCAGAGGAAAGCCUGUCCCAGCGGUCCCGCUGAGAACUUCCGAAGCCUUGGCGCGGCAGGCAGGCCCCUGAGCCGGUGCACCGCGAAGUUGCAUUCUCACCUUCGAGUCACCGUGGCUUAGGCCGAGUAAACGAGCACUUCAUCUAGCGCCGGGCGGGCCCCGGCACCAAGCUAAGAGCUCAAAACUCCUCGAAGCGGGCGCGCGACGUCGCGGUCCGAGCUCUCCUCGCCGCACUCCCCCAUCAGACCUAAGAUCUUUUACCUUUUAAAUUAAAGUGAAUCCAGAUCCUUGUUAAUGCGGCCUAAUGUAGCAGCGGGAAGAGUGUAGGUCCCUGGCGAGGGGAGCGCGCUCCGGUGACCUCUAGCGCCUCAGACGCCCGCGCAGGAGGAACUCCCGCAGCCCGCCCGGGACCCGAGGGCAGGAGGGUGCGGGGAACGGGGCUGCCACUGCGCCUAAGCCUUUCCCCUUUUAUAGGCUUUAGGGAAACAAAUCCUCUUUUCCUAGUGGAUGUAAGAAGUGAGUGAAUUUAAAGUCACAGCCACGGCGGUAAGCGGCCCCAAUUGUCUGGGAUUCAUAAUGCUGUUAAUAUACACACGUAUAUGUAACAGCACUUUGCA
rnacentral:lncRNA from 1 species